ACUGUGCUUGAAACACCGGUUCCCGUAUGAUCACUGAAGUUAAGCAACGUUGAAUUUGGUUACUAGCUAGAUGGGUGACCGUUUGGAAAUAUCAGGUGCUGAA